rnacentral:rRNA from 1 species
CGUAAUAGCUCACUAGUCGAGUGACACUGCGCCGAAGAUGUACCGGGGCUAAGCACAAUACCGAAAUCGCGGAUUCAUACGUAAGUAUGAGUGGUAGGGGAGCGUUCCAAGGGCGUCGAAGGUUGACCGUGAGGACAGCUGGAGCGCUUGGAAGUGAGAAUGCCGGUGUGAGUAGCGCAAGAUGGGUGAGAAUCCCAUCCACCGAUUGACUAAGGGUUCCUGGGGCAGGUUCGUCCUCCCAGGGUUAGUCGGGUCCUAAGACGAGGCCGAAAGGCGUAGCCGAUGGACAACAGGUUGAUAUUCCUGUACUAUCUAUAUGACUGAUGGAGUGACGGAGAAGGCUAGGGAGAGCCAGUUAAUGGAUUCUGGUCUAAGCACAAAGGUUUAUAAUUAGGGAAAUCCGGUUAUAGAUAAGCUGAAGUGUGAUGGUGAAGCUACUAAGUAGCGAAAUCUCUUGACGCCAAGCUUCCAAGAAAAGCUUCUAGGGCUAAUCAUAUAGGUACCCGUACCCAGAACCGACACAGGUGGUCAAGGAGAGUAUCCUAAGGUGAGCGAGAGAACCAUGGUUAAGGAACUCGGCAAAAUAACCCCGUAACUUCGGAAUAAGGGGUGGUCGCUAGACGACCGACACUAAAGACGCCCAGGCAACUGUUUACCAAAAACAUAGGUCUCUGCUAAGUCGAAAGACGAUGUAUAGGGGCUGACACCUGCCCAGUGCUGGAAGGUUAAGAGGAGUGCUUAGAAUAGACGUAAGUCGAUGAUUCGAAGGUACGAAUUGAAGCCCCAGUGAACGGCGGCCGUAACUAUAACGGUCCUAAGGUAGCGAAAUUCCUUGUCAGGUAAGUUCUGACCCGCACGAAAGGUGUAAUGAUCUGGGCACUGUCUCAACCAUGGACUCGGUGAAAUCUUAAUACCUGUGAAAAUGCAGGUUACCCGCAUCAGGACGGGAAGACCCCAUGGAGCUUUACUGUAGCUUGAUAUUGAGAUUCGGUAUGUUAUGUAGAGAAUAGGUGGGAGACUAUGAGACUAGGACGCCAGUUCUAGAGGAGUCACCUUUGGAAUACCACCCUUAAUGUAUUGGAUUUCUAACCUCGACCCAUGAUCUGGGCCAGGGACAGUGUCUGGUGGGCAGUUUGACUGGGGCGGUCGCCUCCCAAAAAGUAACGGAGGCGCCCAAAGGUUCCCUCAGAAUGGAUGGAAAUCAUUCGCAGAGCGUAAAGGUAUAAGGGAGCUUAACUGCAAGACCAACAAGUCGAGCAGAUACGAAAGUAGGGCUUAGUGAUCAGACGGUGCAGAAUGGAAUGGCCGUCGCUUAACGGAUAAAAGUUACCCUGGGGAUAACAGGCUGAUACCACCCAAUAGUUCACAUAGACGGUGGUGUUUGGCACCUCGAUGUCGGCUCGUCACAUCCUGGAGGUGAAGUCGCUUCCAAGGGUUGGGCUGUUCGCCCAUUAAAGUGGCACGCGAGCUGGGUUCAGAACG